UCCCGCGCAGGCUACGUGCGUCCCCUCCGCUACCUAAGCCCCGCCCCUCAAGCGCAAGGCCUAAGGCGGAGCCGGGAGUGAAGAGAGGUCAGGACGCUCUGCUGUCGGGCAGCCACUACAAGGGGGGCGCUGCGCUGCGCUGCGCUGCGCUAGGGAGGAAGAGGGAGCGCCGCGGCCGAGCGUGUAUUGCGCGGGGGAAGACGGACGCUCUUGGCUCAUCCACCAAUCUGCCAGCAUUGAAACUCAUCUUGACUCAUCUCAGCUUCCUCAAGCUUAAGUCAGACAGAGCAGACCAGGCUAAGGACUUCCUCGGGGACAGAGGGAGGUGGCCGGCUGGCCUUGCUCUUGUUGAAGGAACUUUAUUUUCACCUGUGAGCGCUGACAGUCACCACACAAUCACAACAUCCCCUCAUCAGCCCACCAGUGGGACUGUCUACCAGCCCUGCAAAGGCAUGGGGGUAAUCAUGGCUUGAUGUCGAUCCAGGAAACAGAGGUGAUGGAGAGCUUGGGUGACGGAGAGCGAGUCGUAGACAAAGUGGUUGGCUCUGGUUCGGCUCGAGAAGUUGAUUGCGUAGGCUCAUCCGCUGCUGGCUGUUUUUCCUUGAAAAACAUGGUGAUCGGCAACUGUCACUCUUGUCUUUUGAGCUGCUCUAACAUUUCUUGAUACAGUCUGAAAUCAUCCGUAAUACUACGUGUGAUUUUGAGGCUUCAUUCCAUGGAGGGAUCGUAUUCAGAAAUUAAAUCAUUCAAGUGUUGCGCUGCUUGGAACACUUCAGCAAAUUUAUGAAGAUUCCAACUUGCUGGCUCUUCCUGUUUGUUGUCAUCAUCUUCGUCUUCUGUAGACGAUUUUAUCAGUUCCUCUAAUUCUUCGUUAGUCAGUGUUUCUCUUUGGCUCUCAAUCAGUUCUUCAGUUUCUUCCUCAAGGAUGUCAACAAAGCCAUCACCACCCACUUGCCUGACCACCUGAACAAUGUGUUUCACUUCUUUGUCAAUAUUUGGGAAACCCUUAAAAUCAUUCACACAUUCUAUUGGUUUCACCAACAUGCAUUGACUGUUUCAGGCUUGAUUGCAUCUAUUGCCUGUUUAAUAUAAGUGAUGCAAUCGGCAAUGUUGAAGGACUUCCAACACUCCAUCACAUUAAGAUUGGAAUCAGCAUCCAUAGUGCUACGUAUCCAUGAGAACGUAAGCUUCGUAUAUGUGGCCUUGAAACUCACGCCUUGGUUGAGGGGAUGGAGGUGGUAUUUGGGGGGAGAUAGACGACUUCAACAUCGUUAUGUGCAAACCAGAGUGCCGCAGGGUGACCAAGAGCAUUGUCUACAAUCAGCAACACUUUGAAGUCAAGUCCAUUCUCUUCGAGGUACCGCUUGACCUCCGGAAUGAAACACUUAUGGAACCAAUCCAGGAAUAUGCUGCUGUCACCCAAGCCUUUUUAUUUGAUUGCCAGAACACAGGCAGGAGAUUUUUGUUCUUGCCUUUUAAGGCACGGGGAUUUACAGCCCUGUAGAGCAAGCCCGGCUUUAUUAAAUGCCCAGCCGUGUUACCACAGAACAACACAGUCACACGGUCUUUAGCUGCUUUGAAGCCAGGGGUUUGUCUUUCUGAUUUCAAAAUGUAAGUACAGUUGGGCUUCCCCCCCCCCCUCCAGA